AGUGAACGCUGGCGGUAGGCCUAACACAUGCAAGUCGAACGGCAGCACAGUAAGAGCUUGCUCUUACGGGUGGCGAGUGGCGGACGGGUGAGGAAUACAUCGGAAUCUACUUUUUCGUGGGGGAUAACGUAGGGAAACUUACGCUAAUACCGCAUACGACCUACGGGUGAAAGCAGGGGAUCUUCGGACCUUGCGCGAUUGAAUGAGCCGAUGUCGGAUUAGAUAGUUGGCGGGGUAAAGGCCCACCAAGGCGACGAUCCGUAGCUGGUCUGAGAGGAUGAUAAGACAAACUGGAAAUGAGAAACGGACCAGACUCCGACGGGAGGCAGCAGUGGGGAAUAUUGGACAAUGGGCGCAAGCAUGAUACAGCAAUACCGCGUGGGUGAAGAAGGACUUCGGGUUGUAAAGCCCUUUUGUUGGGAAAGAAAAGCAGCAGGUUAAUACCCCGCUGUUCUGACGGUAACCAAAGAAUAAGCACCGGCUAACUUCGUG
rnacentral:rRNA from 1 species